GUCAGCCUAGACCCUGGUUGACACCCAGAAGGCCCAGGACCCACAGCCUUGGGGAGGAGCUCUGGCCAUGACCUGACCUAGUCUCUCUGCUGAGGGCGGUGGAUUAGAGGAUUUUUCUGUUACUAGGAAAACAGCUCAAAGUCAACAUUUCUCAGUGGUCAACAAUGUAAUCUGAACUGGUUAAAGGGUCUAUUUUACCCCUGACUAUGCUCCUUUCCUGGUACUGAAGCUGGAGGGCUGCUGCAGAUGAUUUCAAAAUAUCACAGAAGGAUCUCCACCUGCCUUCCCCCCUGGCCUUAUUGCCUGUCUCUCUGGACCCUCCCUUUGCUGAAUGCAAACUGAGAAAAGAAGUGGAAAAGCUGUUGCAGUGUGGUGUAGCCCCAAUGAUGACAAAGGAGGGGGUAUGUAUAUGUCAUGUUCACUUGAGAGCUUAUGACAUCAAAAAUAAAAAAGAUUCCUGGCUCA